UUGUCUGUUUGACAACCCAUCUUUGUUUAGAUGAUGUAAAUUCCUGAUGCAUCACGGUUGAUGGUACCUGAUGCUCUCGUUACUUGUGUGCCAUUUCUUUGUUAAUUCUCAUCUUCUGAGAGGUUGACUUGAUGCUCAAUUAUGAAAAUGACUCCUUUGUAAUGUAUAUUCAGCUUGAGAUUUCACUGCGAAACUGCGGUUGGGUGAAGCAGUAAGUUAGUUCACUGUGCUUGUUUUUUGAGUUCAUUGUUAAAUAUAGUGUCUUGUUGCUUCACUAUGUCAACCCAUUUGAUCAAAAAGUUCUUAAUCCAUCUAUGUAAAUAGUUUAAACCCACAAUUCAAGGCUUGGUUUAGUUCAGUUUGGUUAAAAUUUCGAGCAAGUUUGGUUUUGGUUGGGUGUUAAGCUAACCCACGUUGGUUUAGUUCAGGUGUCAAGCUAGCUCAUGUGAGUUUGGUUGAAGUAUGGUUAGGGUAUCAAACGAUUCUUAGAUUUACUCUCAGGAACCAAACACCUCCUAAGAUUCAUGUUGGUUGGCCUAGUCUAGACUAGUCAUGCAAGCAAUCAAACAACUCAUGUGAACAUCUGGUGGUUGCAUACAGAGUUACAGACAGCCAAAUGGCUUGCAUGUGACGUGCCUUGUCAGUAUUUUCAUGGAGCAGUACCUCGUGCACCUAGGCUCUCAAGUGUUUCCACCUCUUGUUACUCUUCCGUCUUAUUCUGCAUCUAUAAAUACAUGCACACACGCUUAUCUUUCUUUAGUUAUGCGAGACACAAUCUCAAUCCUCUCUUGGUAGGAACACAUAAAUUCUUACAUGCAGAGGAGGCGGAGAUUUGUUUUGCUUUAAUUCUUCAGAAUGAGCGGCACCGGGGAAUAUGUUCACGCUAUGAGUCCUCACACGUGUCAUUAUCGUUGUAGGUCCCAGAUAACCCACUACUCCAACAUCAAGAGAAGGGAGACAUUCUUAAGAGCAUGGUUAUAACCAGUUGAUAGCUAUAUGAAGUUGGCAUGACAUCUAUACACUAGUAGAAAAUGGUCCAUUUGUCCCAGUUCUAGAGGCCUAUUAGCCCCGGUUCUGGAAUCGGGACUAAAGGGUCGGGACUAAAGUUAGUCCUGGUUCGCUUACCAACGGGGACAUAAUGGUCUCCACGUGGCCGCUGCGGGGAGCCCAGGCAGGAGAACCUUUAGUCCCGGUUGGUCACACCAACCGGGAUCAAAGGGCAUCCACGCGUGAGCAUCUUCUAGGAGUUGGGG
rnacentral:lncRNA from 1 species